CGGUCGCGAGAGGAUGCGGAGGAAGCUGCGGUGUCGUUGUCGUCGGCGGUCGCGAGAGGAUGUGGAGGGCGAAGCUGUAGCGUCGCUGCUGCUAUCAAAGGGAAGUGUAUAGGGUUUAGGGUUUAGAGUUUAUUAGGUUUUAGGGGAAAGCGCAUACAAUUUCGAAGAAAUUUUGGAAAAAGAGAGAAAAGACAUGCAUGUUUAUUGUUGUAGAUGAAGACUCCAUUAUGAACCAGAUAUUUUUAGAUGUACUAAUUCCAUUUUUUUUGCAAAGUAAAAAUUAGAAAAAGAUGAAUGAAUCGCGCACAGAUGGUGAAGGUGCAGUGAGUAACGAAAAGGGAAAACGAAGGAAAGUGUGGGACUAAUUCGAAACGGAUGAGGAAGCAACGUAAAAGAAUGAGGAAGCUACAGUAAGAAACGUACGGCGGAAAGCUAAAAGAAGUAUAGAAAACCCUUCUCACCUGGAAAAGUGGCGGUCGCGAGAGGAUGCGGAGGAAGCUGCGGUGUCGUUGUCAUCGGCGGUCGCGAGAGGAUGUGGAGGGCGAAGCUGUAGCGUCGCUGCUGCUAUCAAAGGGAAGUGUGGGACUGAUAUAUUCACUGUAGAAAGCGACGACCAGGCCGGCGGAAACAGCUCCGUCGUCGAAGACGGAACGCACAGUGAGAAACGAAAAAGGAAAAAGGUAAGAGAAGUGAGAACAUUUGUUCUUAUCUUUACCUUAGAAAGCGACGGUGGGAGGAGCCAGAAGCCGGCGACAGCAGCUAUGGCGCCGUUGUUCUCCUCGUCAGCGUC
rnacentral:lncRNA from 1 species